rnacentral:ribozyme from 15 species
UCUGCCAUACGAGAUGAGAAUGGAAGAAAGGAAUCACAAAAAACAAAACAGAAAACAAGGCAAAGAGUCUUCAU